CAAUGCGUUGUUCGGAAUCACUGGGCGUAAAGCGUGCGUAGGCUGUUUCGUAAGUCGUGUGUGAAAGGCGCGGGCUCAACCCGCGGACGGCACAUGAUACUGCGAGACUAGAGUAAUGGAGGGGGAACCGGAAUUCUCGGUGUAGCAGUGAAAUGCGUAGAUAUCGAGAGGAACACUCGUGGCGAAGGCGGGUUCCUGGACAUUAACUGACGCUGAGGCACGAAGGCCAGGGGAGCGAAAGGGAUUAGAUACCCCUGUAGUCCUGGCAGUAAACGGUGCACGCUUGUGUGCGGGGAAUCGACCCCCUGCGUGCCGGAGCUAACGCGUUAAGCGUGCCGCCUGGGGAGUACGGUCGCAAGAUUAAAACUCAAAGAAAUUGACGGGGACCCGCACAAGCGGUGGAGUAUGUGGCUUAAUUCGAUGCAACGCGAAGAACCUUACCUGGGCUUGACAUGUAAUGAACAACAUGUGAAAGCAUGCGACUCUUCGGAGGCGUUACACAGGUGCUGCAUGGCCGUCGUCAGCUCGUGUCGUGAGAUGUUUGGUUAAGUCCAGCAACGAGCGCAACCCCUGUUGCCAGUUACCAGCACGUGAAGGUGGGGACUCUGGCGAGACUGCCCAGAUCAACUGGGAGGAAGGUGGGGACGACGUCAGGUCAGUAUGGCCCUUAUGCCCAGGGCUGCACACGUACUACAAUGCCCAGUACAGAGGGGGCCGAAGCCGCGAGGCGGAGGAAAUCCUAAAAACUGGGCCCAGUUCGGACUGUAGGCUGCAACCCGCCUACACGAAGCCGGAAUCGCUAGUAAUGGCGCAUCAGCUACGGCGCCGUGAAUACGUUCCCGGGUCUUGUACACACCGCCCGUCACAUCAUGGAAGCCGGUCGCACCCGAAGUAUCUGAAGCCAACCGCAAGGAGGCAGGGUCCUAAGGUGA
rnacentral:rRNA from 1 species